rnacentral:misc_RNA from 1 species
AACUUUCAACAACGGAUCACUUGGCUCUCGCAUCGAUGAAGAACGCAGCGAAAUGCGAUCAGUAAUGUGAAUUGCAGAAUUCAGUGAAUCAUCGAAUCUUUGAACGCACCUUGCGCCCCUUGGCUAUUCCGAGGGGCAUGCCUGUUUGAGUAUCAUGAAUACCUCAACUCUCAUGGUUUGCUGUCAUGAGCUUGGGCGCGGGGGGUGUUGCUUACGUCUGGUCAGAACCCCUGAAAUGAAUCAGCAGACCUGUCUUUGGUGGCAUGACGGGUGAGAUAAAUAUCUGUGCUCGCGGUUGUGUGCCAAGUAGCGUUAUGUGACAAAGGUUUGCUGGAGAUCACAGGUGUCUCUCCUCAACGAGGACAGCUUUUUGGACGUUCGAUCUCAAAGCAGGUAGGAAUCCGCGCUAAACUUAAGCAUAUCAAUAAGCAGAGGCA